GCGUCCUGGCUGCGAUCUCGCGGUCCUCGGUGGCGGCGCACGGCCGCGAGGCCGCGGCGGUGGCGGGGAAGCUGCUGCGGAGCACGGGGAAGGCGGCGUGGAUCGCCGGGACGACCUUCCUGGUGCUGGUCGUGCCGCUCAUCAUCGAGAUGGACCGCGAGCAGCAGAUGGUCGACCUCGACCUCCAGCAGCAGGCUCUUCUCGGCUCGCCGCCGACCCUCGCCAAAUAAAUCCCUCCUCUUUCGUCAGUCCGUCUUUGUUGCCUGCCGCUGCGGUCACAUUUCGUUUUGCUAGUAUCAUAAGUUGUCGAGAAUUUUAUCACUAGUCUGUUCUUAGGGAGAAAGAUCAUGCCUUGUUGUGACUGCUCCUGCUCGGUACUAUUAUCGCAAUAUCACCGACUUGUCUUGAUCUCAGUCCUGUGAUACACAAGAGUGUUUGUUUGUGAUGCCUAUUUAGAUACAUACUCGGAGUACAUACAUGAUUGUCACAAUGCCCUAUCCCAUACCACCCAAAACUUGAGAAGGCCUAGUCCCCAAUUCUGCUUCAAGAAACUCACAAUUCGGAAAGUACACAACCUUAAGGAUUUGAGCACUUAGCGAGUUUGGUUCCUGCAAAAUUCUCCAUCCUUGCUUUGCUAACAAGGCCAAGUUGAAAAGUUCCAUUUGCCUAAAUCCCAUACCACCCGAAAAUUUCGAUUGGCACAUAUCCUUCCAAGAGACCCAGGCAGUUUUUCGCUCUCCAUCCCUUGCUCCCCACCAAAACUUCCUCAAAGAUGAAUCAAUGUGCUCACACAAUCCUCUUGGAAGUUUGAAACAUCCCAUAGCAUAGGUAGGUAGAGCUUGCUCCGAUUUUAUCAAAACUUCCUUUCCCACAACCGAUAGCAGCUGCUCAAUCCACCCCUGUAACCUUUUCCAUAAUCUAUCUCUUAAGUAUUUAAAGACACCAUUUUUUGCCCUUCCUACUUCCGUUGGCAUACCAAGGUAUUUCUCCGAAAGCGCUUUUGAAUGCACUUGUAAAACCUAUUUCACUUCGGCAUUCAAAUCAUUAGGACACUUUUUGCUGAAGAAAACUGAUGAUUUCUCCAAGUUUACCUUCUGGUUAGAAGCAUUACAGUAUAGAUUCAACACUUCUCUUAUUUUAGAUGCAGCUUGUGGUUAAACUUUCAAAAAAAUACUAUAUACUAUCAUCAGCAAAUAAGAGAUAGCUCACCUUGGUGCCAUAAGCUGCUAGAAGCCGUAAAAGAACCGGCCCUAACACUAAAUACCUGUCGCUAUUCGGGCCUGCCCUUGUCACGAGCCUCCUUAAGCCCACAAAAGGCCGUCCAGUCCGAUAAAGAGUAGUCGUCCUCUGGAAUGGAAACCCUAAUCGAACCGAAUUGAAUCCUCCAGUCCAGAUCAAAACAAGGGAGCGAGCAUGGCGUCGUCCUCCGUUGUGAGCAGGCGUGGCGACACGGGCGGCAUCCUGGCUCCGAUCUCGCUGUCCUUGGUGGCGGCGCACGGCCGCGAGGCCGCGGCGGUGGCGGGGAAGCUGCUGCGGAGCACGGGGAAGGCGGCGUGGAUCGUCGGGACGACCUUCCUGGUGCUGGUCGUGCCGCUCAUCAUCGAGAUGGACCGCGAGCAGCAGAUGGUCGACCUCGACCUCCAGCAGCAGGCUCUUCUCGGCUCGCCGCCGCCCCUCGCCAAAUAAAUCCCUCCUCUUUCGUCCGUCCGUCUUUGUUGCCUGCUGAUGCGGUCACAUUUCGUUUUGCUAGUAUCAUAAGUUGUCGAGAAUUUUAUCACUAGUCUGUUUUUUCUUUUUUGGGGGAAAGAUCAUGCCUUGUUGUGACUGCUCCUGCUCGGUACAAUUAUCGCCAUAUCACCGACUUGUCUUGAUCUCAGACUCAGUCCUGUGAUACACAAGAGUGUUUGUUUGUGAUGCCUAUUUAGAUACAUAUUCAGAGUACAUGCAUGAUUGUCACAAUGCCCUAUCUCAUACUUGUUGCUCUGAUAUUGCUACUUCCACCACCAGAAUUAGC
rnacentral:lncRNA from 1 species